GACACUGCAGGUGGCAGGCUCUCAGCAAUGAGAACACAUCGCUGCAGCAGCACUGAUUUUAAUUGCACACAAGCUAAGCUCGCCUUGCUGAUUGUCUCAGCAUCAUCCAGUUCCCUCUCAUAAUCCCUGCUCUUUCUAGGUUUGUAGCAAGGCUCCAGGUGAGAGGGGUGCUCAUCACAAGGAGGGAGCCACUCCUCCCCAUGCAGAAAGCUCAAAGGGGAGGACCACUGUCAAGUUGCCAAACAAACAAACAAAAAGCCUUAGGAUGGUUGGCAUGGAAUGGGACCAUUAAUCCCUGCCCUUGCACAGACAAACCUCGCGCAGGCCUUGCAUUUAAGACACCUCCACCCUCCUGUCUCUGUUUGCAGCUGCCUUCCUGCACACAGGACUGAUGCGGCGCAGCGAGCUGCCCUCUGGACCCACCAAGACUGACCUUGCUCUGCCCAGCUCACCACCCAGGUAAGUGACUCUGCCCAGACCUCUGGCAUUCUCUGUCGCAGUAUCUGCUCUUUGAAAUUUAUCCCUUCCUUUCCUUUCUCACUUCUCAUAAGAACUGCAAUUCUUUACAUGUCAUUUUUAACCCUGGUGUUGUUGCCUUCUCUGUUAUGAAUUAUCAGAGCCUCUCAUGAGCUAGGUUUUUAGCCAGGACUUCACAGGCAAAACAGGCAAGGUUAGCUGCUUUCUAGACCUGGUUGUAGAUGCAAGCUUCAGGUGCUUAAGUGAAGUGGAGUUUUUUUAAUGUGGUUUUUAAACUUGUUUGCAAUAGUUGGUACAUCUGUGUGAGAAGCUGCAACCUGGCUGAUGAGUGGAGACAACCUCCUCACUUCAGGGCCCAGAGCGCUUUAGAACUGUCCUGUAUAAAAUAUUUCAGAAAUAAAUGUUUCCUUGGAUCAACCAGAGGGAGGUUCUGCAUUACCAAAAAGCAAAACAAAAACUGUUCUUCUGCCUGCGAGCUCUUACAAAGACUCCAAGCAUGAAGAAGGGCUCGAAGUCUGAUGUAACGCAGAGAAAGGGCCCAAGUCUGCUGACUUAAAGGAUGUGGUUCUACUUAAGUGCGUAGUGCUUCUAUAUGUUUUAUACAGACACAUAAAUAAAUGUGUGCUGAGAAUAAUGUAUCCCUUGGAAUGAUCGAGUGGGGAAUGUGGUAGAUGAGCUGUUGCUGAAGUCUUCAUGCCAGGAGCAGCUGGCUUGUUCCAAGGGAUGUUCUCGUUAACCAUGCACAAGUGAGUGCAGGGUGAGACACUGGGGCACCCCGUGGCCGCUGCGAUGCAGGGAACCAGUUUCAAGCCAGGACUUCUUAAUGAAUGGAGCUGCUCCAAAUCAUGCCACUGAAAGUGGGUUCUUAAGAUUAAUUUCAUCCUGCAGUUAAUUAGUCUGACAAAUUGUCACAGUCCAGCCUAGGCUCCCCUGCCCACCACAAAAAUGAAUAAUCCUGCUUCUCUAGAGUGGAGCGCUCUUAAACAUGAGUUCCCACAUACAGGGGUCCUGUGUCUGGUGUCUGGACCCAGCCCAGCGGCUAAUUAAGCCUAAUCCUGGAAAAAUGUCAUUGUGGGUUUUGGUCCCUGCCACCACUUUUCUGUCAGCAGUGAUUUAUGGCACACAGGGACAUAGGGUCUCUUUAAAGGAGAUGGCUGGCAGCCACUGGGCAGGGUUGAAAGGUCUCUAGGUGGCUGAAAAGCUCAUGGAGUUUUUUCCACCUUCCACCACACGUUAGCCAUACGUGUGCUAGAAUCACACUGGUUUUUCAUCAGGUCUCCUGGUCAGUAAGAUCAUCUCAGGCCUCAUGGUGUCUGCUGAAGGUAGCUGAGGACACAGAGCAAUUGGCUUGCUUCUUCCCAUGCCAUUUCCCUCCACCUUCCCCAGCACCUUCUGGCUGGGAGGAAUGGGGGCAAUCCUGGAGCUGUGGCCCUUUUCCUACUGCUGGUGCUGGGUGAGGUGCCUCCCCUUGUGCCCUGCCCUAUACAGCAUAAAGAUCCCCACGAUGCUCACCAGGUCAGUCCUCGGCUGCUGUUAACUGGCCAAACUUUGGAGUCCGCUCGACAGUGUCAGCUCACACUAGCUGAGGUCUGGUUUUCUCUGGUGGCUUGGGCUCGCUGCCUUAGGCUAAGGCAAAAAAUGUCAUUGCUUCAUCUGAAUUCUCCAAGCCCUUCAAUUCUGUGUCCCAAAGCCACAAAGCCGUUUACUCUUUCCAUACUGAAAUAUCCCUGCGCUUUACUAGUGUGUUAAAUUGUAAGGUAAAAUGGCCAGCCACUCUUCGUGACUGAGUGCUUCUAAUCCGCUGCCAAAAAAGGACAAUAUUUGUACAAGGGAUGAGGGGAAAAAAAUGGGGAAAUUUGUAUGGGGGGAGGAAAAUGUGUUCCCUCUCCCUAGCAAACACUGGCUAAAAGGCAAAGUUCAUUCCUGGAUUGCUUUCAACACUCUUUACAGAGAAGGGCAAGGGCAGCCUUUCUGGUUGUAAAUAAAGCCCUUUCCUUCAGAAAUGUGAAUUGUUUAGAUCCAACAAGCCUUACUUCAUAAGGGUGCAAAUCUCUUGCUUUUAACAGCCUGCAAACAUCCUGUGCUCUUUCUAAAGACAUCUUGUGCAUGAGAAGAGGUUCAUUUGGGUGUUGGAAUCAAACCCCAUGUGCACAUGCAUUCGUGGGCUCUGCUGAAGGCAGGCAAACUGCUCUCUUGGGGGAUCACCUGCAAAGAGACGCAGAUUGUCUCAAGUGGUGAAGGCAGAAGGGCCGGAGAUAUGUAGUCCCUCAUACAGGAGAUUUUCUUUCCUAUAUAAAAGAGCCUGGGCUACAGCUGAUGUUUCAUCCAUGAAGCUGUUCUGGUGUCAGACAAACAUGCAUGCCUGUUUCUAUUUGCGCCUUUUCCAUAGGGAAAGUUGUGAACAGUUGUGGAUUAAGCUGCUUUUCAGCUCCAGACUAGCUUGCUAGAACACCAAAUAAUGAAGCUGGAAGGGCGGUAACCAUGACCGUCCUUGCUGGAUUAACACAAGAGAAAUCCAGAUCUCCUGAGAGCUCUGCAGAGGGUGUUUGUAAAGUGCUGUUUUAAAGAAACAAUUUUAAAGAAGCAACUUCAGUGCUCCCAGGCAAACAAACCUUCCCACUUCUUGCUAACAUAUGCUGACAGUAAGCAUGCUCUGAACACCCCUGGAGACAAGGAUGCAGGAGGCAAGGUCCUUUCUGUGGCUUUGCAGGAAUGUUUGUGGGCAUCUGGCCCCCAGCGUUUGUAAAGGAACGGGUUCUGCAGACUGCUGUGUGCCAGGGGUGCUGCUCCGCCAGAAUGUGGGGACAGAGUGCAGGAAGGAAUGAAGGAUCUCAUGCUUGACUGCAAUCUAUCAAUCAAAAAGUUGCCACUGCAUUUGGUGAGAGCAGGAUUUGCUUCUCUCCAUGUUAGUUCUGGCAUACAUAUCAUACAUGUAUGCUGUAAACUAGCAUCAACUUCAGACCUGCAGACUAAGCCUCUUAAUUUAGAAAGCUUGGACAAUUGUGGACAUUGAUAAGCCGAAGCCAGUGAGUGACUUGUGCCACCCACCAGAGACCAUUACAGAUUCACGCUCAUCUACCACUGAGCAGUACCAGCAGCUGCUGCAGGUGGGGAAGUCACCUGGAAUUCUGCAGAUGGAAGAUGUAAAUACCUUACAAGGGAUGGUCUAAAAAUUAAAAAUCGUCAGCAAGACCCUGCAGUCUGCUCCCCAAGCAGCUGAGCUGCUUGCACAGGGUGCAAGGGUCAGUAAACAGCGAGCGCAGAUUUUACAGAGCAGCAACUAAAAGGCACUUCAGAUGACUUUUUGUUUUGCCUCCAGUGAUGUUCUGAAAUACCUGCUCCUGAAUCUCACUUGGAGUUUGGAAGCAAGUAACAGGGCAUCCAAGCUUUCCAGAUUUGUCUUUGGGGCUAAAAUGCCAAAUGGUUGACACACGCCAGAAGUUGGCUUUUUGGCAACAGUUUGACAGCAGCUCCUUCCAGUCUAUUUUAAGGUAAAAACAAAACAAAAAUGUUCUGCCUGUCAAAAAAAACAAACACCACAAACAAAAACUGAUGCAAUUCUUUUUCCUUCUGCACAGGAAUGGUUGAAAGAACAGAAACACCGGACUGCUGACCUGCCCUGAGAAAUGACCAUCCUUGGCUCAUCUCUAGCAAUCAUCCAGCAAUCCCAAGACACUUCACAAUAAGGCUUGGCACAGAUGCUGACCUGGACUCUAUUGAUAGGACCAUGCCCGUGAAAGCUACACCAAGAGGCAAGCUACACUCCUCCUCCACGGUAUGUAAGAUGAAGCUGGAAUCUCUUCCCACCACAGAGGGCAGAUUCUGGCACCACACUGUCGUCAAACAGCUCCUGAACCAGGGGCUGCAGCAGACGUGGCUGCACUGCGGGCCCGGAGGAAUGCGGGAUGCAGGCGCGCAGCCGAUGCUGGAGGCAGCCGGCACGGACCUGCGUGUGCUGCAGGAAGGCACCGAAGACCUGGCUUCACUCUCCGAGGCCAGACUGUGAGAAAUCUGGGGCAGGCCCACUCAAAGGUCUCGGCCUGGUGGACCUUUAUUUACGGCAAGUAGGCUUCCAUGGGAAGCUGCUGACAUCCAGCUGGUCACCUCCUCUUGGCCCAGCACUGAGCAGAACAGGACCGUGGCUGUUUGUACUACACUAAUAACAAUAUUAAUGAACACAACAUUUGUUAUGGCAGCUGAUGAAAGCAUGAGGCAUCUGGUAUGGCACGUGGUGUUGAAGACUUUCAUGACCAAGCCCUGAAGACGGCACGAAGUCCUUGGAGAUAGGUUUGAUUCUAAAAGAUCCUUCACUCCACCAUCCUGAGGGAGCAGGUCACGCUUAAGGUGGUAGCUGACCUUGCUAGUUAAUAAAGCUGGAUUUGUUUAGGCUUAUUCUGCACAAGUCAAAAGGAAAGGCCAAGGAUGCCCAAAUCCAGCCUUCACUGACAUGAGGGGCCCUCCUCAGAGAGACUGAAGCAAUUUGUAUGCACUGAGCUGUGUAGAAGAAUGUCACUGAUUUAUAAAUGUCAAACAGGCUCUGAGCAGCCCACACACGAACCUCAGUGAAUUCUUACCUCUGACCCGCUCAUUGGCUCCAGCAGCGGCAUGGGCUGAUUUAGAGCCCCUUACUGUAAGAGCUUUAACAUCUCACACAGGCUGUGGCUGAUCUGAAUAUGUCAAAGGGGACUGAAGGUCAAAAUUUCCAUAAAUUAGGCCUUGGAUUGUUACCUAUCAUGUAAUAGGAUUCUCUGGCCAGUUAAUGCUGUGAACUACAGACAUUCAGCGCAGCAGUUCCCCUGCAGCCCAGUUCCCCUGCCCUUCUACUGAACUGGUGAGGCUGUAUGUCCAAGGAGAAGGAGCGUCUUCAAAGCUGCUUUCCUCCAAAGAGAAAAAACGGAGCAGGACAAAGGACUGGGACUCUAGGCAGGGAACAUGACCCCAGGCCCAGUCCUGAAACGGGUGAAUAUUUUCACAUGAAGAAACCUCUGAGCUUUUGGAGGAGCUGCAGGGGCUCGGUGCUCCUCAGGACCAGAGAGAGACCUGCUGUGUGCCAAACAGAUGAUACUGCACAGGGCAUUGACAGCUUUUCUCAGGGCAGAGUAGGAGAGCUAAUAAUGACUGGUCAGAUGGGAAAGCCAGAGAAGAAAGACCACAUGGAGGAAUACAUGUACAAGCUGCUAAGAUGUCUAAUGUGCUUUCCUUUGGUUACUCUUCCAUUCAGAGCGAGAACUAGGUCGCUUUCUGCUGGUAUCCACCCCAUUUAGCACACUUAUAAAGCUUGGAAGGACAGCCACAGCUCUCAAAUUGCCUGCUGAGACAUGGCACGUUGAAAACAGGGCAUGACACAGUAACACGUGAUGGACAGUGGGGGAGAUGGCUUCACUGGUCUCCUAGCUCUAUUUCCUACAGCUCUAAAUCAGCAUGAGGAACUCUGGCACUGCCAAGAGGGGCACAGCAGGGCUUUCUGCCCCUGGAGGCUGAAACUGCACAGCAAGAGGAGCACAGUCCCUUCAGGCAUUCGGCUUUCAGAAAGACCAAAGGUGUGGUAUUUAUAAAGGCUCCAAAAUUGGCAGCAAGAGAAAGGCAAAUAUUCUGCUGAACUGGAGACCGCCCCAGCACAGACAGCUGCAGCCCAGCCUCUCCUCAGUCUCCCUGCCAGUUCUCUCAAGCAUGACCUGGUUUGAGGACCACCUUCCAUGAGAUCAAAAGCAGGAGAAAAGAGGAGAUGGCAAGCAUGAGAAGAGGUGUGGAUGGAGGAAGUCAAAGCAGCAAGGAAGCUAGUCCCAUCUCUUUAUGAAGAGACAUCCUGAAGAAACUCAUCCUGUAGUCAGCAUUCCUCCAGUGGUGAUUACUGACAUCUGAGGAGACUGACCUGUGGCAUACUGUCACUGCAGCAGAGUAUCUUGCUGGGAGAAAAUUUUGGGUUGUCUCCUGGAUUGAUCAGACUGUGGCUUCUCUGUCCUAUAUAGACAAGGAUAAAGAACCUCCCCGAGGUGCUCUAGGAGAGACAGCGAGAUCUGGUGGUGGGAUAUGGAGGUCUGAAGUCUCCCACCUGCUCUGCCAAGCAUGUGCUCUCCAGCUUUGGGUGCACUGUGAGUUGAUUAACUCUGUUGUAGGAGACACGAACUGCAGCAUACCCACCAGCCACUGUUUGAGAAAAAGGAAGAGUAGAUCUGUGCCAUACAACAAUAUUUAUAAAUUAACUUAAUCACCAGAUGAACAGUUUAAUCUGUAAAUGCGAGUCAUCACUAGAUGUCCUGUAUAGCAGCAGCUGUACCAAAUACUGUGGGGCUUAUUUGAUGAGGACUGCACGUUGCCUGAGCAGGCUCAGAAUCCCAGAGUCAUGCUCAAACUCUGGAAUUAAAGGAACUGAAUUCAGGAAUUAAAGGAACUGAUUCACUCUGACAGGGCUGGGAAUCUGUCUUGUGGAACUUAAGAGCAGCUAGACCUGCCAGUAAAACAGCAGUACUGAAGGACGAGAUGAAUGCGUUUGUUCUAAAGACCUCCCAGCCAGAUGCUACCCCUGCUAUAUUUCAUACGGCUUUCUGCAGGCAGAGAGUUACCACCGAAACCUGAGCCAACUAAUAACAAAAGCAGUGUGGACUUUUCUGCUGGAGCUGGACUCUGCAGUACCAACCUGACAGCAUCUGGACCCAAACUCUGCUCAGGCAGCAUGUCUCCCAGCUUGGCCAGCACCACCCAUCAGCUACAUCAUCUUCUGGUGGCAAUUAAGGGACAAUUCAACGGGAAAUGAGUCUGUGCAUUAGAGAGGAAUAGGUGACCUGGAGACCUGGUAGCCAGAACUCAAAGCUGGGAAGAAGCCAGGCCACAUUUCUUACGGGAUUCUUCUCAAAGAGGAACUGCCUCAGGUGACAGUGUCUAUAAGAAGUAUAGUGGAAAAUCAGAACAUGCUCUGAGAAGAAAAACUGAGUGCUCCAGCCUCCCUAAUCCACACAUCUACCCAGACGCCCAGAAGUUAACCCAAGUCCAAAGGGCUGCAGUGUUUUUUUAAGCUGAAUAUUUCUUCUCAUUGGGGACCAAGGUAAUUAAUUGCUUCAGCAAAGAAUGACAUGUACUGCACCGUAUUGCUUGCAGAAGUUGCUGAUGCCCAGAAGCAAAGAUAAUACUGCAUUCCCUCUAUUCUCCAGCCUCUCCCCUGAGAAUUCAAAUCAGUAACAACCCAUUAGAUCUCAACGCUGCUUCCAAGAAAUGUGGCUAAAACAGCAUUUCUUUGGAGGUAACAAAAAUAAAUGGGACUCAGAAGAAAAGCAAUUUACCUAUGAAACUCUGAGAGUUCCAAACAUCAGCAUAUCUCAGCUUUCUUGGGAUUUUUUUUAUUUUUAUUCUGCAUUUUCUAAAUGGCAUUGAUUCAGUCCCUGUAGAUGGGCCGUGACGGCGCACAUCUGGUUUUAUGGUUAAGGAAAUAGCUGAUUGAAUCAAUACACUCAGCACAGCUGACUGGAGUAAAUAAAAGAGGAUUUGAAGGAAGCCUUGUUUUCCCCUUGAUGGGUAAGUCCACCAUCAGUGCUGCUGCAGUUGCCCUCAACUCAGUGGAGUGACAUGAAGAUGGAAGUUGUAUUUCUUCAUGAACUGAGCUUGCUUGUUCUCUGUCCAUCAUAACUUUAGUUUUGGGAGAACUUUGCUCUUAGAAAGCAGCAACCAUUUAUACCUUCAGUAAAAGAGAGAGCCAACGGUCUGGGCCCUCUUCAGGAAAGUGAGACUGACCCACUGGGUAAAUGAUUUCCAUCGCUGGAUUCUGUGAUCACACCUAAUUAUUCUGCGUGGAGCAGUUAUCAAACGUGAGCUUCUUUGUUUUCACAAGCUCAUGGGAAGAGAUGGGGAAAUGGUAGGAGAACGUACUGUAUCCCAAAGGGAGACCAUCAGGGUGUAGUACUAGGAAGUCUUGGGGGUUCAAACCUGGCAGCAAACCUAGCUUCAUAGUAAAUGAACCACAAAACUCCUGUGGAGCCCUAGAGUUUCAGCUCUGGAGGUCACAGGUUCAUGUUUCUCUGCUUCAGCCUCUUGGGUACAAUGCAACUCUAAAAAUUCUCUGUGGAGCCAUUAAAAAAAAAAAAAAAAGUCCACAUCACCUCUGCAGUGAUAGGGCAGCCAGAGAUUGGCACCGGAACAGUUAGUGGGAACCCACGAUGAACGUGACCUACCAGGGUGGUCCCUUGGGUGGUCAACAUGCUACAAGCAGCAGCUCACUGCUCCCUGUGCCUGCCAGGUGCAUAUCACAUUCCCACAGAGCAACUGGCGGGCUGUAACCAUUCCAGCAACUUUUCCUUCAAGCUGAUAAUUGAAGUGUUAUCUCCAGCCUUCGUUUCUACCCGUCAUUUGAAGUCUAUGUCACCUGAAGCCCUUGGCUGCACCCCAGCAAAGAAAGCAUCACCUGCCUGCCCCAGGCUGUGCAGCUCCACCCCAAGGGUGCAUCUUCUGCAGGUGUGAAGCAAAGGUGUCAUGUGGGAGUUUGUUCCUGAGCAGAAGAAAACGCUUUGUGCUGGGAAGACACGUGGCCUGACAGAUUUGCAUGACAGAGAGUAGUGCUCCCUUGGUAAGGCAACUUACCGAAGAAAGGGUGAAGGGGGUCCUCACUGUGGACAAUUUUGGUUAAGGAAAAAUUGCUGUCUAACUGAUCCUUUGUGGACUUCCGACUGAAACCACCCAGUACAACAUAUGGUUCCUACGUGCCUUUUUGGUCUUUUCAGCAAGCAAGCUAAUGGAAACAAUUCUGUAUCUUCAAGGCAGGAUGAUGAAGUUUCAGAGUUCCCCUGGCUAGUCACAAGAGAGAAUUGAUACAGCUCUACAGCAGCCAAAUGCCCGUGCAUCUCUGCAUCUCAGGUUUACCAUUAACCUCAGCAGGGGGCUUCGUCUCGCACCAGGAACCCCGCUGGCCUAAGUGUUGUGGAAACAAAGGUGAAACAACAAUAACUAAAACCAGUCUCUGCCUUAAGGAGAUGGCAGCACCUCCCUUAUUUCUUUCAACUGCUGUAAAUAAAUCCUUGGUCAUGGCACUGUUUUCCAGAGGACAAUAAAAGGAACUGUUGUCACUCCCUGACA